rnacentral:rRNA from 1 species
CCUACGGGCGGCAGCAGUGGGGAAUAUUGGACAAUGGGGGGAACCCUGAUCCAGCGACGCCGCGUGAGUGAAGAAGUAUUUCGGUAUGUAAAGCUCUAUCAGCAGGGAAGAAAAUGACGGUACCUGACUAAGAAGCCCCGGCUAACUACGUGCCAGCAGCCGCGGUAAUACGUAGGGGGCAAGCGUUAUCCGGAUUUACUGGGUGGAAAGGGAGCGUAGACGGUGCAGCAAGUCUGAUGGGAAAGGUCGGGGGCCAACCCCGGGACUGCAUUGGAAACUGUUGAACUAGAGUACAGGAGAGGUAAGCGGAAUUCCUAGUGUAGCGGUGAAAUGCGUAGAUAUUAGGAGGAACACCAGUGGCGAAGGCGGCUUACUGGACUGUAACUGACGUUGAGGGUCGAAAGCGUGGGGAGCAAACAGGAUUAGAUACCCUUGUAGUC